UUCCCUGUGGCUCAGUUGGUAGAGCUUGGUGUUUGCAACGCCAGCAUGGUGUGUGCAACGCCAGGGUUGUGGGUUCGAUUCCCACGGGGGACC
rfam:Salmo salar isolate Sally breed double haploid chromosome ssa01, whole genome shotgun sequence.